AUUGAACGCUGGCGGCAUGCUUUACACAUGCAAGUCGGACGGCAGCACAGAGAAGCUUGCUUCUUGGGUGGCGAGUGGCGAACGGGUGAGUAACAUAUCGGAACGUACCGAGCAGUGGGGGAUAACUAAUCGAAAGAUUAGCUAAUACCGCAUAUCUUCUGAGGAAGAAAGCAGGGGACCAUUUGGCCUUGCGCUGUUUGAGCGGCCGAUAUCUGAUUAGCUAGUUGGUGGGGUAAAGGCCUACCAAGGCGACGAUCAGUAGCGGGUCUGAGAGGAUGAUCCGCCACACUGGGACUGAGACACGGCCCAGACUCCUACGGGAGGCAGUAGUGGGGAAUUUUGGACAAUGGGCGCAAGCCUGAUCCAGCCAUGCCGCGUGUCUGAAGAAGGCCUUCGGGUUGUAAAGGACUUUUGUCAGGGAAGAAAAGGGCGGGGUUAAUACCCCUGUCUGAUGACGGUACCUGAAGAAUAAGCACCGGCUAACUACGUG
rnacentral:rRNA from 1 species